rnacentral:rRNA from 1 species
AUUGAACGCUGGCGGCAUGCCUUACACAUGCAAGCCGAACGGCAGCACGGGAGCAAUCCUGGUGGCGAGUGGCGAACGGGUGAGUAAAGUAUCGGAACGUGCCCAGUCGUGGGGGAUAACGUAGCGAAAGUUACGCUAAUACCGCAUACGAUCUAUGGAUGAAAGCGGGGGAUCGCAAAACCUUGCGCGCUUUGAGCGGCCGAUGUCAGAUUAGGGAGUUGGUGGGGUAAAGGCUCACCAAGCCGACGAUCUGUAGCUGGGCUGAGAGGACGACCAGCCACACUGGGACUGAGACACGGCCCAGACUCCUACGGGAGGCAGCAGUGGGGAAUUUUGGACAAUGGGCGAAAGCCUGAUCCAGCCAUGCCGCGUGCAGGAUGAAGGCCUUCGGGUUGUAAACUGCUUUUGUACGGAACGAAAAGGUUUGGCCUAAUAAGCUGAGCUCAUGACGGUACCGUAAGAAUAAGCACCGGCUAACUACGUGCCAGCAGCCGCCGUAA